rnacentral:rRNA from 1 species
CAGCCGCCGCGGUAAUACGGAGGGUGCAAGCGUUAAUCGGAAUUACUGGGCGUAAAGCGUGCGUAGGCGGUUCGUUAAGUCUGUUGUGAAAGCCCCGGGCUCAACCUGGGAAUGGCAAUGGAUACUGGCGAGCUAGAGUGUGUCGGAGGAUGGUGGAAUUCCCGGUGUAGCGGUGAAAUGCGUAGAGAUCGGGAGGAACAUCAGUGGCGAAGGCGGCCAUCUGGGACAACACUGACGCUGAGGCACGAAAGCGUGGGGAGCAAACAGGAUUAGAUACCCGUGUAGUCCCUGUCUCUUAUAC